CGGGCGUUAUCCGGAUUCACUGGGUUUAAAGGGUGCGUAGGCGGGUUGGUAAGUCAGUGGUGAAAUCUCCGAGCUUAACUCGGAAACUGCCAUUGAUACUAUCUGUCUUGAAUGUUGUGGAGGUAAGCGGAAUAUGUCAUGUAGCGGUGAAAUGCUUAGAUAUGACAUAGAACACCAAUUGCGAAGGCAGCUUACUACGCAAAUAUUGACGCUGAUGCACGAAAGCGUGGGGAUCAAACAGGAUUAGAUACCCUGGUAGUCCACGCCCUAAACGAUGAUUACUCGACAUACGCGAUACACUGUUGGUGUCUGAGCGAAAGCAUUAAGUAUUCCACCUGGGAAGUACGACCGCAAGGUUGAAACUCAAAGGAAUUGACGG
rnacentral:rRNA from 1 species